GAGAAAAGGAGGCCAGCACCCUCAUCCGGAGGGGUUCAACCUGCAAGAGCCCCAUCUUCUGUGUUGUUCGUGACCAAGUCAGAGGGCAACAACAAUGUGAACCUGCAGGAUGUUACAGUGGGAGAGAAGGUAACUGUGGGACUCAGUGACACUGGGGCAGAUGUGACUCUUGUGCGUCCAGAGCUAGUGCGCUCUGAGGACUUCAUCCCUGG